rnacentral:RNase_P_RNA from 1 species
ACAGCAAGCCAUCUUAUCGCUGCCCCUUUGGGGGGAGAGGAAAGUCCGGGCAACGCAGAGCAUCCUACUUCCUAACGGGAAGGGUUCCGGGUAACCGGGAUACAGCCAGUGCCACAGAAAAUAACCGCCAGCAGCAAUGCUGGUAAGGGUGAAAAGGUGCGGUAAGAGCGCACCAGCGGCUGGGUGACCAGUCCGGCUGGGUAAACCUUAGGAGUUGAAAGACCAAAUAGGCUGACAGUGCCUCGCUUCGGCGGGGCUAAGGGCUGCUCGUCCGAUGUCAGUGGGUAGGUCGAUGGAGCCUGUGCGCGAGUGCAGGCCUAGAUAAAUGAUAAGAUCCCGAUUUAUCGGGAACAGAACCCGGCUUACAGGCUUGCUGUUUUU